GUCAAGAUGGCCGAGUGGUUAAGGCGCCAGACUUAGGUUCUGGUCUUCGAGAAAGGCGUGGGUUCGAACCCCACUCUUGACA